rnacentral:sRNA from 1 species
GCUCAUCUGCAUAUUCCCAAAGCAGGUGAUGUGUGCAUCCAAAGGAGGCUGCCUGCCCAAGGCUCGGCGCACAGAAAGGAGGGCGGGUCCAAAGCCGGCUUCUCUUUACUGUCUGAGACAGGCGUGACAGGAAAACCCUCCUCAGAAGGAAGAUGCAGCCCUCCUGGCCCUGAGCUUCUGCAAUGACUUGAGCGCAACCUGGUUUUCCCUCCUUAGCCGGUGUUAUUUCAACGUGUCUCCCGUGUGGCCACAGCCUAGGUGUUAGCUCCAUUUGAGAGCUCCUAAUUGCAUUUUGUAAAACAAGAAAGAGCAAAUCCCAGAAGCUUCCAAGGGAGUCCAUUUCAUAUUUCAUUGCCCAAAAUGUUGCUGCUGUUUAUGCCUGAAAGAAAUCAAUAGGAAAUUCCCAGACACCGAACGAGACGGUCCAGACCCAGCUUGUGCUUGAUGGAGCAGGUUUCUCUCCACCAUAUGCCCAGGGAAGGGGUGCUUGGAUAGUGCCAGUGAC